GAACGUGAUUUGCGUUGCAUUUUUCAUGUGAUUUGUCAUUAUUCUAAACUGAUUUGACGAGCUGCUUUUCCAGCGAUUUAAAUAGAAGCGGCGGUGAUUUGAUACUAUACUGAUGAUUUGAUUUGAUACGAUAUUGCUGUUUAAAAACGCAAUUACCCAUGGGAAGAGAGAGCCCAUUGAGAAGACUCCAACCACCCACAAUAGCUUACAUUGGCAUAUUUUCAUACGAGUCGUUAAUCAAAUAUGUCUAAAGAAUGUGUUUGUUUGGAAAUCUCUUUAAGUUAUAGCAGUACGUAGGAAAAUAUAAAUAAAUGUAUAGAAAAUAUAAAAAUUCAUGCCAAUAGAUUCAUGCAGUGAAAAGAAUGGCACAAUUUAUGUGAAAAUCACGUCGAAUACCCGUCCCAAAUUGUAGUUGGUCAACCGAUUCACUUCCUCGUACCUAUAACCACCAUCAAACAUUUCCGGCGGUUUGCUUGUUGCUUCGGGACUGGAGCGGGAUCAUCGUUACUCACAAAUAGCAAAAGUCAGGCCCAUACUUGGCUUAAAUUCGGAAUAGAGUGGUGUUUGGCAUACACGCCUUUAUCCGACAAGUAAAGCUGGAUAAAAAUACCUGACAGGCAUUUAAAAAAAUAUUGUCACCAUUCUAACAAUCAUGUCCGCCAAGGGCAAAAGGGAUAACGUGGCAGUUUUUUCCUCAAUCCAACCUCAUCAACCCAUCAUCCAAACUCAUCAAUCACCAUACUGUAACGAUGAGUAAUGCUGCUGUAACAAUAUUGAUAAAUACAGAGUCCACCCUUAUAUAGAAUGUAAUAAAUCAAAAGGGGAAGACAUGGAAGGGGACACAAGAAAACCGCAUAAAGAAUGAAGCCAACCUGCAUUGGAAGCAGCAAAUAAAAACAGACAGAUGAAGAAGACAUCUAUAUAUGUCUUCAACCGCUUUCAAUAUCAUUGUUUGAAACACUUACAUUCUAGUGGUUAUCGAGGUGAAAAAAGACAACCCACAUGAAAUCAAUCCAAAAAAAUCCAAUGAGGACACUCAGUUUAAAGAUGACUAGUACUACAGUAAAAUUCAUAAAGACACAGUCCCAGCUCGAUAUGAAUUUACGGUUUUAAAAAAAUUAAUUUUUAUUUGACCUUAGCUUUGACCAAGUGAUGAAAUAUGCUCCCCCAUUUUAAAAAGGAUCAACGCCAUGUUUUUUCGGUGGUCCUUAAUUUCCGAUGAACUUGCUGAAGACCUUUAUCCAGAUCAACCUUUUGGUGAUGCCUACAUCAUCCCUCUUUUGCCCAUAGGGCUUAAAAUCCUUAUUUUGCUUUAGGUUUUCAAAAAUUAUGCGUUACUUCAUUAUAUAUUUUUUUGCAUAGGAUCGUUUAUUUAUACUUUUUUCUUUAAAAAAAUUGGAUGUCAGAAAAAAUCCUUACAGCCACAAUGAAAAAAGACCCGUUAAACUUGGAUAGAUCUGAUGGAUCUGAUCAAGGUAUAGAAAAACGUAAGCCUCGUGUUGACUCAGGCUUACUUAGGAUCACGCAACCGUAUCCUAUUCUUUACACAAAUAGCAUAACCUCGUAAAAAAAUUUAUAGCUGACGAUGACAAUUUGAGUCCCAUCAACAAUCAGCGGUACAGCGGAGUCACCCGUCAUUAAAAUUAGAAGAUAAUAACUAAUUAGAGAUAUGCAAAGUAGUUAAACUUGUUACGCAAAGUUCUGAUAUUGAUCAUCUUUUUCUUUUAUAGGUAAGGGAGACUGAAGUAAGCCGGGACGGUUUUCGUUUUCCCCCUAUUUCUUCCAAACUAAUCAUUAAAUUUAUUUAUAAUUUAGUUUUUAUGUUUUCCAUACCGUAAUGUACCCCCCAUAUGUUUUGUAUAAUUUAACAAUCAACCAUUUUCCCAUAUAAGACAUUUAAAGUUUUCUCAGAUUUGUGGGAGGUACCUAUUUUGAGGGGUAUGUGAGGACACUGGGGUGGGUGGUGAGAGACGUCCUCCAAUUUCGCCUUAAAAUUCAUUAAAAAAUUUGUAAAAAUUUAAAUAGCGUCCCACUGCAUAGACUCUAUAAGU
rnacentral:lncRNA from 1 species